rnacentral:rRNA from 1 species
UACGGAAGGGGCAAGCGUUGUUCGGAAUCAUUGGGCGUAAAGGGCGCGUAGGUGGUUCUGUAUGUCUACCGUGAAAGCGUACGGCUCAACCGUAUUUUGUCGGUGGAAACUGCAGGACUUGAGGCUGGGAGGGGCUGGUGGAAUUCCCUGUGUAGCGGUGAAAUGCGUAGAGAUGGGGGAGAACACUCGCGGCGAAGGCGGCCAGCUAGACCAGUUCUGACACUGAGGCGCGACAGCGUGGGGAGCAAACAGG